GACAGAGGGUGCAAAUGUUGCUCGGAAUUACUGGGCGUAAAGCGCGUGUAGGCGGACCUGCAAGUCGGACGUGAAAGCCCUGGGCUCAACCCAGGAACUGCAUCCGAAACUGCGGGCCUGGAGUGGUGGAGAGGGAAGCAGAAUUCCUGGUGUAGAGGUGAAAUUCGUAGAUAUCAGGAGGAACACCUGUGGCGAAAGCGGCUCACUGGACCAUAACUGACGCUGAUGCACGAAAGCUAGGGGAGCAAACAGG
rnacentral:rRNA from 1 species